GACGAACGCUGGCGGCGUGCCUAAUACAUGCAAGUUGAGCGAUGAAGAUUGGUGCUUGCACCAAUUUGAAGAGCAGCGAACGGGUGAGUAACGCGUGGGGAAUCUGCCUUUGAGCGGGGGACAACAUUUGGAAACGAAUGCUAAUACCGCAUAAUAACUUUAAACUUAAGUUUUAAGUUUGAAAGAUGCAAUUGCAUCACUCAAAGAUGAUCCCGCGUUGUAUUAGCUAGUUGGUGAGGUAAAGGCUCACCAAGGCGAUGAUACAUAGCCGACCUGAGAGGGUGAUCGGCCACAUUGGGACUGAGACACGGCCCAAACUCCUACGGGAGGAAGCAGUAGGGAAUCUUCGGCAAUGGACGAAAGUCUGACCGAGCAACGCCGCGUGAGUGAAGAAGGUUUUCGGAUCGUAAAACUCUGUUGGUAGAGAAGAACGUUGGUGAGAGUGGAAAGCUCAUCAAGUGACGGUAACUACCCAGAAAGGGACGGCUAACUACGUG
rnacentral:rRNA from 1 species